UACGUAGGCAGCAAGCGUUGUUCGGAAUUAUUGGGCGUAAAGGGCGCGUAGGCGGCUCGGCACGUCCGUUGUGAAAUCGCCCGGCUCAACUGGGCGGGGUCGGCGGAUACGGCCGAGCUGGAGCAAGCUAGGGGGUAAUGGAAUUCCCGGUGUAGUGGUGGAAUGCGUAGAUAUCGGGAGGAACACCAGUGGCGAAGGCGGUUACCUGGAGCUUUGCUGACGCUGAUGCGCGAAAGCGUGGGGAGCGAUCCGG
rnacentral:rRNA from 1 species